rnacentral:rRNA from 1 species
UUGGACAAUGGGCGCAAGCCUGAUCCAGCCAUGCCGCGUGAGUGAAGAAGGCCUUUGGGUUGUAAAGCUCUUUUGUCAGGGACGAUAAUGACGGUACCUGCAGAAUAAGCCCCGGCAAACUUCGUGCCAGCAGCCGCGGUAAUACGAAGGGGGCUAGCGUUGUUCGGAUUUACUGGGCGUAAAGCGCACGUAGGCGGAUUGUUAAGUCAGGGAUGAAAUCCCGGAGCUCAACUCCGGAACUGCCUUUGAUACUGGCAAUCUUGAGGCUGGAAGAGGUUGGUAGAAUUCCCAGUGUAGAGGUGAAAUACGUAGAUAUUGGGAAGAAUACCAGUGGCGAAGGCGGCCAACUGGUCCAGAUCUGACGCUGAGGUGCGAAAGCGUGGGGAGCAAACA